GCUGCUCGAAUAAUAUCACACACCUCUUCGUGGUGAGCAGCAGGCAACGAUCCAUGAUAGGCUAAGUGUGAGA
rnacentral:ribozyme from 1 species